GAACAAUAAAACAGUAGUGGGACACUUUCCAGUUCCAGAGAGAUGCUUUUAGAAAUCUAUUCAUAGACAAUGUGGACAUGGUUAAAACUGCCAAGGGAUAUGUUACAUGUUUGUAAUGAUGACGGGUUCAGUCGAUGGAUGGAAGCAACACCAUCAAAAGAUCUUGGAGUCAAAAUAAAUCUUUCACUGCAUGAAUUGGUACAUUAUUUUGGGGAAGAAAGUUAAUCUCUCAAGUAAAUAUCUGAUCAGAGAAUUUGCACUAACACUAACCUAUAGGAAGAUGCUUUGCUACUUGCGCUUAUGAGCUUUCACAAUCAAAAGCACUGAGAUAAAUCUUUCACUGCAUGAUUGACUAACUUACAAAGCUAUGCUUUACUGCGGCUAAAUAAUUAAGUUUUUCGCUUGAGCAGCUGAAAAUUAGUGAAUUAAAUAUAUG
rnacentral:lncRNA from 1 species